rnacentral:rRNA from 1 species
AUUGAACGCUGGCGGCAUGCUUUACACAUGCAAGUCGAACGGCAGCGGGGGCUUCGGCCUGCCGGCGAGUGGCGAACGGGUGAGUAAUACAUCGGAACGUGUCCUUGAGUGGGGAAUAACGCAUCGAAAGAUGUGCUAAUACCGCAUAUUUCUCAGGAAGAAAGCAGGGGGUCGAAAGACCUUGCGCUAAGGGAGCGGCCGAUGUCUUAUUAGCUAGUUGGUGAGGUAAAGGCUUACCAAGGCAACGAUCAGUAGCUGGUCUGAGAGGACGAUCAGCCACACUGGGACUGAGACACGGCCCAG